rfam:Salmo salar isolate Sally breed double haploid chromosome ssa21, whole genome shotgun sequence.
UAGCUCAGUUGAUAGAGCAUGGUGUUUGCAACGCCAGGGUUGUGGGUUCGAUUCCCAC